rnacentral:rRNA from 1 species
UUUAUGGAGAGUUUGAUCCUGGCUCAGGAUGAACGCUGGCGGCGUGCCUAAUACAUGCAAGUCGAGCGAACGGAUGAGAAGCUUGCUUCUCUGAUGUUAGCGGCGGACGGGUGAGUAACACGUGGAUAACCUACCUAUAAGACUGGGAUAACUUCGGGAAACCGGAGCUAAUACCGGAUAAUAUUUUGAACCGCAUGGUUCAAAAGUGAAAGACGGUCUUGCUGUCACUUAUAGAUGGAUCCGCGCUGCAUUAGCUAGUUGGUAAGGUAACGGCUUACCAAGGCAACGAUGCAUAGCCGACCUGAGAGGGUGAUCGGCCACACUGGAACUGAGACACGGUCCAGACUCCUACGGGAGGCAGCAGUAGGGAAUCUUCCGCAAUGGGCGAAAGCCUGACGGAGCAACGCCGCGUGAGUGAUGAAGGUCUUCGGAUCGUAAAACUCUGUUAUUAGGGAAGAACAUAUGUGUAAGUAACUGUGCACAUCUUGACGGUACCUA